UCUACAUAAUUUAUCAUAAAAAUUAGAUCAUGACAGCCAAGAUACCUAACUAAUAAUAUUUUAUUAAUUACAAUUUGUUCAUACAUACUCGCAUAAUUAUAUAAAUACAAUUUCUGUUAUAUAUCUUUUCAUGGAAGAUGAGUUAUUGAUCACUUGUGCCUCUUCAUAAUUGGUUUCGAUCAAUUAACACAAAAAGUGGUGUCGUUAAGUUUCAAAUGUUACCAUAAAAUGGUUACGUGUACCCUGGAUUUACAUUAUCUUAUGAUGAUUAGCUGUAAUCAGUCCAAUAAUUUGUUUUAUAUUCAAAAUCAAAUCAUGUAGGGAUUAUAUGCGGACAACUAGUUAUAAUGGUGCCACUGUAUCCAACUUAACCAAUAAUGUGAUAAUUUUAUUAAGGAAAACCGCGUAAAAAACUUCGAAAGUGACACACUUUAAACCUUAAUUUUUUUUUACUAUCACUUUAAACUUUUAAUAUGAUAUUUGUAUCACAAAAAACCUUCAACCUGGCUUACUUGUUUGUCAAGUAAAAAAUUGACAUGUUGUACAUGUAAAUGUGAUGAUGUAUCGGUAUUUUUGAAAAAAAUAAUUAUUUAAUUAAAAAUAAAUAAAAAUUAAAUAAAAAGUCAGAAAAUUAAAUAAAAAUCAGAAUACUAAAUAAAAAUUCAGAAAAUUAAUCAGAAUAUCAAAAUAAGUUAGAAUUAAUUAAAAUACAGAAAAAUAAAUAAAAAUUCAAAAUAAAUAAGAUUAAAUUAAAAUUCGAAAAAUUAAAAAAAUAAAGAAAAAAUCAAAAACUAAAAAAAAAUAAAAAUAGUUUUUUUUAAAUUACAAGAUUCUUUUUUAAAAGAAAACCAACAUGUCAUCGACAAUAAAAAUUUCAAAUAUAUACCUGAUAACGAUGGUAGUUUCUCUUAUAAAUAUUAACAGACAUUAUCGUUAAAAAUGACAGUAAAUAUGUCAAUAACGAUGUUUUCGACAACCAUCAUUUAAAACUGUCGUUUAUGACAUUAUCGUUAGAUGAUGGUUGUUGAAAUCAUCAUUAUGAACAUAUCUACCGUCAUUUUUAACGAUGAUGUUGGAAACCAUCAUUAGAGAUAUGUCAAAAACGUCAUUAUUAAUGGUUAUGAGAGAAACCACCGUCGUCAUCACUGAUAUGUUUGAAAUUGUUAUUGUGAUGAUAUGUUUGUUUUCCUUGUAAUUAAAAAACUAUUUUUAAUCUAUUUUUUUUUUAACUUUGUGGCUUUUUAUUUUCUUUUUGUUUAGUUUUCUGAAUUUUUAUUUAAUUUUCUGUAUUUUUAUUUACUUUUCUGUAUUUUAAUUUAAUAUUAUUUAGUUUUAUUAUUUUUUUAGUUUUCUGUAUUUUAGUUAACUCUAAUUUAUUUGUGAAAUUUUAAUUACUUUUAUGAAAUUUUAUUUAAUUUUCUGAAUUUUAUAUAGUUUUCCGAUUUGUUUUUAAUUUUCUGAUUCUUUAUUUAAUUUGUAUUUAUUUUAUUAAUUAAAUAAUUAUCUUUUCGAAAAAACUGAUACAUCAUCACAUUUACCUGUACAGCAGGUCAAUUUUUUACUUUAUGAACAAAUAAGCCAGACUGAAGUUUUUUUGUGAUACAAAUAUCACUUUGAAGGUUAUGUUAGUCAAAAAAGUUAGGUUUAAAGUGUUAGUAGAUGUCAUUUUCGAAGUAUUUUUAAUUACUCUCAACAAUUGGUUAAGCAACGCACAUCUCUACCAUUCUAUUUAUUUUAAUUAAGAGUCUUUUCUAUGAACAUUGACUUCAAAAACACUCAAAUCUUCUCACUUUUUCUAAAGAAAAAAACAUUUAAAUAAUAAGGAACACAUUAAGACUUUUGUUCCACAAGCCGGUCUGCAUCAAUAAUGGUGUUUGUUCAUAGGGCUAAUUGGUGCAAUAGCCACAUUACAGUGAUAAAAUUAAGGAAGUGGUCAUGAUUUUGACAUAAUCCACUGUUAGACUUUUCGGCUUCCUUCCACUCGGUUAUACCCCUCUAAGUAACAAGUUACUGGUUCCAACACAUAAAGUAAACGACCUGGUGGUUUUGUAUCCCAUUGUAACAAUCACAUAACUUAGGAAGCGUGUGGCACAACUGUAUUCAAAAUCAAAGGAUGGAAAGGAUGCAAAGAGAGGAGUAGAUAAGAAUCGUAAGUGUACAAGAAACAACGUUAAACAAACAGCAAGUUGAAGAGUAAUAGUUCCAUACUAUGUAUUUUAGGUAGAAUAGUAUCAAUACAAAUGUAGUUCCAAUUGAAAGAGCAUCUACAUAAUAUAGUGACACUUGAAAAUGUGCAUGAUACAAGGAAAUUACGUAAUACUUUACCCAAAAGGAAGCCAAAUAUUCCAGAAAUGAACUGAUGAACUUAAUCAUUAACCUCAACUUGGAAAUAGAAACCAUAAAUACAAUCAUGAAUUUAUAAGUUAAAGAAGGUGAUAGUAUACCAUCUUAUGUUUACUAGGACUGCAAAGAAGUUAAAUUUCCAUUUAAAAACUACUCAUAUGCAGAAUCGAAAUUUACUAUUUUAUAUAGCGUCGAACUAUUCCAUAUGAUCACAUAUCCAUAUCAUGUCUACAGUUGUACGCCAGUGAAACACAACGGUGCUGGUGGUUGGGUUAUAGAACACAAGAUAGAAGCGGGGAAUAAGAAGAACAAGGUACGAACUAUCAUUAUGGAACCAAACAUGUCCAAAUAUGUAGUCAUUUGUAUCGGUGUGUUCUAUGAAACGGAUGCGAAGAUAUGAGGAGUAAGAAAUAUAUAGGUUUGGGUAUGUGUAAUAUAACAACGUGAACGUGGAAGUCGGGCAGGGGAAACCAAACUUUGAAUGGGACAGCAUGUCCAAAUAUGUAGUCAUAUGGGGCUGUAAUAGAACACUUGACAUUAAACACUAAACCCAAGUUAAAAAAAUAUAAACCCCAAUCCACCCCCAUAGGCAACCCAAAUCUCCGGAAAACUAAAUCCACCUGCCAUAAUACUAGAGACAUGUAUUUACAUUCCUCAUUAACCAUAUGAAAUACAAAGCUAAUGGGAAUGGUAAUAGAACACUUGACAGUAAACACUAAACCUAAGUUAAGGAAAUAUAAACUCCAAUACAUAGACAACCCAAAUCUUUGUGAAAUUAAAUCCACCUGCCAUAAUACUGGAAACAUGUAUUUACAUUCCUCAUGACCAACAUGAAAUACAAAGCUAAUGGGGCUGGUAAUAGAACACUUGACAUUAAACACUAAACCCAAGUUAAGGAAAUAUAAACUCCAAUAAAUAGGAAACCCAAAUCUUAGAGAAAUAUAAACCUCAUGAGCCACAUGGAAUAUGCAAUGGGAAACAUAGGUACAAUCUCACGUACCAGAUAUGCGAUUAUGUUAUUCCAUAUAAUUGUACUAUGUAUUUAUUAUUUUAUAAGUUCUAUUCCAUAUAACGUAUACUAUGUUAUUUGUAUACUAUUUUCAUAGUACAUCCAUGAUUUAUUUACAUAAAAUACAAAUCCAAUUGAGGAUUGCUAAAACAACACUUGACAUUAAACACCUAACACAAGUUAGGGAAAUAUAAAAAUCGAAUAGUUGGUGACAGCUAUUCCAUAUGAAAGAGUAGGAGGAUGCCACGUACUAAAGUCGAUUUACCAAUAUAUUUUCACUGUAUAAAUUUAAACAAGUGGUAUAAGUUAAUAAUUUUAAAUGUGUGUGAUAAGGUUACGAGAAGACUUCUAUUCUAUAGACACCAUACUUUUUAAAAGGGUACUAUGUGUAUAGUAGAUACAGAAUUGAGCACCAUGAAAUACAAAGCUAAUGGGGAUGGUAACUAACUGUCGUGCAAGAAUAUAAUGAAGAAACAUAACCGAGAAAGUAUGGGACCCCAUCUUCAAUACUUGCCCAAACUGUGACGCAUUCAACAUCGCCAGGUCCUCAUCCUCUAAUGCACUCUUUAUCACUUCAAUCCAACGGAGAUUGAAAUAGUUGUUAACCAUUUUCUUUCCAGUGGGUUCAAAGCCGGUCUCAAACAAUCUACUUGGAAGGUCUAACUCGUCCAUACCAAACCUGAAGAAUGAAAAGUAAGAGAGGAAAAGAGUGAAGACGGUUCACACUGUAAUAUUCAAUAUAAAAAUGAAUUAUGAAUCAAACAGAAUAAGAAUGGCUAACGAAUGGAAAGGCAUAUGAUGUAAAAGUACGAUACCAUGUAAAAGGGAAUAA